UACGGAGGAUGCAAGCGUUAUCCGGAAUGAUUGGGCGUAAAGCGUCCGCAGGUGGCUGUGUAAGUCUGCUGUCAAAGAGCGAAGCUCAACUUCGUAAAGGCAGUGGAAACUACACGGCUAGAGUGCGUUCGGGGCAGAGGGAAUUCCUGGUGUAGCGGUGAAAUGCGUAGAGAUCAGGAAGAACACCGGUGGCGAAGGCGCUCUGCUAGGCCACAACUGACACUGAGGGACGAAAGCUAGGGGAGCGAAUGGG
rnacentral:rRNA from 1 species